AGCUUCUCUUUUACCCAUUAAUUACAUUGUUUGAAAUUCUUCAACAAUAUCAUUUAUUUAACCCAUAAAUAAUAUAUAAAAGCUACAAGUACUUUUACUCAGUACUAAAUUAAUAAUACCAGGUUAGAAAAUAAGCCAAUACAACCUAGGUUAAAGUUACUCUAUCACUUGAAUAAAACAAGCCAACAUGCUUAAUUACAUUUUAAACAGAACAUUUUCAAAUGAAUCAAAAAUACGGUGCCUUUAACAUUUUAGCAAUAGUUUAGUGUUUUAUCUAAAAUCAGAAGGGACCGAAAUAACGGUGAUUAAACGUGAUCCGUAUCUAAUACAGACUUUUUAUUUUAGCGGACUUUUAUUUUGGCGACUUUAUUUUGGCAGUCUACUUCCUGUUCUGCUGCCGCACUUUUCCCCUUCUUUUAGGUACAAGCGCUUUUCUUCCCCUCACUCUCAGCUGCGGCUGAUGUGUUUUGUCUGUAAAAACUCUCAACAAAGCUCUGGAAUUUCUAAAUAACGGCGUAUUUCAACUGUCCUGUUAAGAUUUCCCACGGACUGAUUCUGUGAUUUGAAAAACAACCUCAACUCAACAAACUUCCAGAUAAUGAGCUAAGAGUCUGUGCGGUGGGACAGACUAUUUGUUUUGUAUUAUUGGACCUGGGAUUUGUACAAACUGUCUUCAAACUGUAGUUUAUAAUAAAACAACUGAAAAUUA